UGAACACCCAGCUGCAGAGCGGAGGCUCAGAAAUGGAUGCUUGCUCACCUCCUGCAUGUGGUGUCCUAGAAAGCCUCUUGUUUCUCCAGCUGUCCUCCCCGGCAGCAUUGGCAUCACCUGGGAGAUUGCUAGAGAUGCAGAUCCCAGGCCCUCGCAGAUCCAUGGAGUCAUCACCUGCAUUUUAGCAAGAGUUCCAGGUGAUUCGUGUGCACAUUACAGUUUGAAAAAUAUUGGCCAACACACAUCAGAGGCACUCAAUAGAUAUCUGGUGAAUGAAUGAGGAGUGAGUAAAUGAAUAAAGUAAAAUACAGAUGACCCUCAAUUUGGACAUAAUGCAUUCCUAGAGACUGCUUCAUAAAGGAUAUUGCUUAAAGGCAAAACACCGACUGCAAGAAUGCCACCACUUUUGUCUGUAAAAUUCAUUACAAAUUGACAGCAGAUAAAGUAGCAUAUAUAUCUCUUCAUUAGGUAACAGCAAAUAAAUGGAAAGGCAAAAGAGGGCCACAAUGAAGCAUGAACAAUGUAUAGAAUUCUAGUAAAAGAUGAUUGCAUAAGGACAUUUUUACCUUGCUUCUCUUUAUGAAAGUGUCCAUCAAUAUGAAGAAAAAGAAGGGAAGAACCACCAUCUUCUCCAUGACAGCAUGCCUAAAGCUAGUCUAAUCUUCUCUCUGUCUUGAAAGGUUUUAUGGAUCCUGUGAGUCUGCUUAUCACAGUCAUUUGAAGAGAGAAACAACAACUGCCAAUCAUGAAACAGAGGAUGUGUGAGAUAUGGGCUUGCUGUGAACCAAGAUGAUCCAAAGGGGAUGCUGAAAGCUUAGCAGAACCAAAUACUCAAAUAGAAAAAAUGUGGCUGAUUUGCUUCAACAGCUUUCCGAGAUAAUAUACCAAAGUGGAAACUGAUAGCUUCUCCAGAUCAUACUUGCUCAUUCUGUCCCCGAUUCUUGGGCAGAACUCUGGUCUAGAGAGAACUUUCCUUAUUCCAAGAAGCACCGUGAGCAGAAGACCUAAAACAAGACCCAUAGAGUAAAGGGACAUGGGAAACAAAAUGGCAAAUCUGACAUCAGAAAAAAAUGAAGAAGAAAAUAAAUAAAAAAUAUAGCCUUCAUACUUUUAAGUAAAAUGAGUGUAAGCUAGUUGCAAAAGACAUAAAAUUAAUAAAAGAUAACAACUUAAUAAAAGAUAUCAAAUCUAAUCUGUCUCUCUCACAUGCACAGACACACACACACACACACACACACACACACACACACAAAGUGUUGAAAGGAUAAUCAGGCAGGCCGAUUUUAAGAAAUAAAUGUAAAAAUAAAGUCAUCAAAAACUGUCACCGCAUUAAGAACCUAAAGGAUUAAGAAAGACAACAUAGAAAAUAGCAUCCAUGAGCAUAGAAGGCUUGAAAUAAUCACAGAAAAAGAAAUGAAACAAAAAAAUUAGAAAGCGAUUAGAUACAAUAUUAUAGAUAUGGAAGUCAGAC
rnacentral:lncRNA from 1 species